AUGGGCUGCAGAGAUGACGAGGACCUCGAGAAGGAGGACCAGGACGUCGAGCCGAGACGGGUUGCCACUCCCACUCCCUCCGCGGCCGAGUCAGAGCCCGAGCCGCCUAGAUCGACGCCCAAGGCAGCGGCGGGCAAGAAGCAGCAGAAGACCACCAAGGCGCCGAGGGAGAAGAAGGCAAAGGUGGAGGAGAAGCAGGUGGCAGAGGACGAGGUGUGCGUGAAGGAGCUCGGCGCUCGGAGGAGCUGGCGCUCGGGGAGGAGGACGAGAUGGCUACCUCCAGGGAGCAGCAAAAGGAGUUGGGGCACGCGGCGGCGGCGGCGGCGGCCAAGAGGCGCAUAG
rnacentral:rRNA from 1 species